UGGGUUGCUGCCCCUGAAUUGGUAAUUUUAAGGAAAUUUUGCUGUUUUUGGUUAUUAUCUUGUAUAUUAUUAUAGAUAGAGAUAAACUGUAAACAGCCAUUAUUUUCAGCAAAGUAAGAUUUACAAAUAAGUCAACAUGACCGAAAUGGUCAGUUGACCCCUUUAGGAGUUAUUGCCCUUUAUAGUCAAUUUUUAACCAUUUUUCGUAAAUCUUGGUAAUCUUUUACAAAAAUCUUCUCCUCUGAAACUACUGGGCCAAAUUAAUCCAAACUUAUCCACAAUCAUCUUUGGGGUAUCUAGUUUAAAAAAUGUGUCCAAUGACCCGGCCAUCCAACCAAGAUGGCCGCCAUGGCUAAAAAUAGAACAUAGGGGUAAAAUGCAGUUUUUGGCUUAUAACUCAAAAACCAAAGCGUUUAGAGCAAAUCUGACAUGGGGUUAAAUUGUUUAUUAGGUCAAGAUCUAUCUGCCCCGAAAUUUUCAGAUGAAUCGGAC
rnacentral:lncRNA from 1 species